CCUUUUAACAGAUUUCCAUAUAAGAGUAAACUAGCUAGCAAUCAACUUUAAAGAUAUCAAGCUCAGACUGAAGACUAUAUUUUGAUUUUAAAAACACUUUAUAGCUUCCUUAUAGCUGAUGUUGUCUGUUUCUCUACUGGGGUUUCCUGGUUUAUUACCACUAGGCUAUGCUGUGCUCCCAGGCCUCUCUCUGCUCCGGCCUAAACUCACACCCAUCCAGAAAAAGAUGAGUCUUCACACCUCUUCUGCAGCCUUGCCUCACUCCUCCCUUCCUAUCACUCUGUUUUCCCCCCUCCUGGUUUUAUAGCUUAGCUCCAACACCCAGCUUUUUCCACUCGCCCUCUUCUCAUCGUCAUCCUUCAUUUCUCUGCUUUGCCGCUCUCCUUUCUUCUCACUUUCCCUCCCUCCCUCUCUUUCUCCCUCUCUUAGGUGCUGAUCAAUUCACAGUCUCCCUGGGAGGUGUGAGAAAAGCCCCCGCUCAUCCUCACCCAUCCACCCGCAGCCACCCUUACCCCUCCAACCCUGAAUGGAUCACCUUUCAGAUCAUUCAUCCCUGGAUUUUUUUUUUUUUUUGGGUUACAGGGAGUGGGGAGUUCAAGUGAUGAUGAUGAUGCCGAUGAUACUCUUUUCCUCCUGUUCUUCAGUUUCUCCUGUCCUCCUUUUUCACUUCAUCAUGUCUCUUCCUCUCUCUGCAAAAGUGUCUGUGACACCAUUAGCACACCUGAAAUAAUAGUGCCGGUGACAAAUGCUGCUGGAAGGGCUGGUUGAGAGAGACGCUGAGAGGGAAAGACAGAAAGAGGGAGAGAGUUAAGGAGGUGUGUCUGUGUGUGAUAGAGCAGUGAGCUCUCUAUCUGCCUGUGGUGUUAAUUCAGAUUCUGCAGCCCUUCAGAGUAAUAGUGGAGCUGCUGACCUGGUGACCAAUGGCACAAUGUGAAAAUUGACGGGCAGCAUUACAGGAACCUGUUCUCUCUGUGUUUGCGCACUUGAACGCACAUGUUUAGAGGUUUAUAUGCCAUAUGUAACAGUGCA
ensembl:lncRNA